GUGCCCUGGGAAAAGAGGCAGGGAGCAACAGACAGAAAAGAAAACCAAGACUUCAGUUUUUCAUAACAUAUCAAUUGGGAGACAUUCAGAAAAGUAAAUAACCAAAAAGUCUCCCCUUUCUUCUGUCCCAUCUUUCUUUUGCUAAUGAAGUAUAGUCAACUCUUAAUUAUCUCUUGAAGACAAAGCGAUUUUUAAUAUAUCUUGAAGACAAAGCGAUUUUCAAUCCUUGGAUGGAUUUUCCUACUGAACAUAUCUUCUCGAUGCUACUUAUUUUAAUCUCAAUGGAUCUUUGACCCCACUCAUGCGUAGCUCACUAUCCAUCUGUAGAAACUGUCCAACAUCUAUCAAUGGAUCAGCUCAACGGAUUGUUGAGUCAACUGCAUUUCUAGACAUUAGGCAUUCUUCAUUCAGCUGUAAAUUAGGCCAAACCCUUUGAAAUUUUUUUGGAAUCUCAUGGAUGUUUUGAAGUGUUCUGGAGUUUGAUGCAAUCAGCAAAAUAUCUUGCAAAAACAGAAGUAAAUGAAAGCCUUUAUCAGUCUUUGUUGGAAAUUUUCGAAGAAAGGGGCCAGGAGCACAUUUACCUGUUUUAUGACUCAACUGAUAGUAAUAAGAAAAUUCUUCAACGAAGAUAUUUCUCUUGUUGCAUACAUCAAGGAAUUUUGUACGAUAUUAAUAUGCAUGGAAUACACCUUUUAGUAGAAAUCUGGUUGGUAUGUAAUCAAAUAAUUCACUUUAAUAAUUAAAUAAUUAAGACACUGCUGAGAAAAAAAGUUACUAUGCAUCUCAAAAUAAAAUGCAAAUUACUCCUGUAA